GGGAGAGCCCGGUCUGUAUGGGAAGCGACUUUGGAGAAGAGGGACGACAGCGUCUGUGCGCGAAGACAGCAUGUCACAGAUUUUCGCUGACAGUUUUAUGUUGAUGAUGAAGCGAGUUUAGAGAUAGCCUACAGACAUAUUUCUACAGCAAGGAGCCGCAGCCAUGGUCACACAGGGAACUUUGACUGAGGUUUUCAAAAGGCCACCCUUCUUACCAUCUCUUCCCCAUCCUCCUAACUUGGCCAGAGCAUCAGCACCUUGGCUUUAGACUGCUUACUGCUUAUACAGUGUCACAGUACAGUAACAGUCUACAGUCAUGGCUACUGAAGCCUGGCAAUGCACCAAACACCACGCUGAAAACAACAUGGACAUGCAGAGGCCAUGCUGUAGUGAUGUCAACCUAAAGGAGAAAAACACCAUGGAAAUACUGUUCAGUACACUUUGCAUGCUAGAUAAUUCUCUCUCUGUGUCUCUGCUGGUCUGUCUCUUUUCUCCUGCUUGAAAAGGAAACCUGUGUGUGCUUGCAUUGGGGGAGUCCUACACCAUGUAAGUGCGUAAUAUCCGUGUUCAAACCAAUGAGACCUUGCAGUUUCUAGUUACCAUGCCAACUCCAGCUCCACCUCCACCCUGCUGUCUCCAUGGCGACCGUGGCUUUAGAUUGUUACUUAAGCAACAGCACCAUGGUAACAGUCUACAGCCAUGGUCGUUAGGGGCAGGUGGCACAAUGGAAAAAUAAGAAAGAAUAAAGUUAAGUUGUAGCAAAUAAUUAAGUUGGCAUUUGAUUUAUAUCUCUUCUCCAUUAGAAAGUAGGUCAUAAGUCACUCACUCAUCCAUAUGCUGUCUGGAGCAGCAAAGUUAUCAAUUUGAUUUCUUCGUGGCUACACUUUUCCCUUGAUACGAUACCAAAAAUGUUAUAUACUGUAUAGUGUUUUAAUUCUAUAAUAUUACAAUAAUACACAUAAUGUAAUCUAUCUGAUACAUCAUAAAAGAUUAACAAAUAAGUACGCAAUGACACAUAUGGACACAUAUUGCUUUUCACUUCUACUUUAUUAGGUGUAAUGUGUUUUUUUAUGGCUUGAUCAUUGAGCACAGUAAUGAAUGCAAAGAGCACACGCUGAACAGAUGAGUCAGCCAGCUCCAACACCUGUUCCCCUCUCUAUUCAUCAGACAAGAGCAGUCUCACUUCAAAGCAGCACAGGCAGGAAUUCCCAGUAGGCAGCGCUGUAACCUGCAGGCAGACACAAACCACACACUGGAUCCUACACAGAUGGGCUAACGCACAUGUAUGCAUCAACACGUGCAGAUACACACCUAUGGUAUGCUCACAAAUAACACACACACACAAAGAAUGCACUAGUCCUUGGCCCACUUUUCUUCAAGCACUACUCUAUAAUAUCCAGAGUUAUUCUGCCCUCUAUAGGUCAGGAUUUGUCAGUGUUGUCUGCUUGUUACAUAGCUACUAAACCCAAGCUGAGACAUUUUGGAGCUAAACAUGUGCCUGAUUUAAUAAAAUAAAUGAAAUAAUAUAAAAAGA